CAUGCUCCUAGAGGUGGUGCAGGUGUGGCUUCUGGGUCACAUGUGCAUCAGUAGGUGGCAGAGAGGAGAGAGGCUGUGUCUACCCUCAGUGUUCUGUGACCAUCUGAAUGAUUAGUAGCCUAGCACU